rnacentral:tRNA from 13 species
GCCCAGGUAGCUCAGUCGGUAGAGCAGGGGACUGAAAAUCCCCGUGUCGGUGGUUCGAUUCCGCCCCUGGGCACCA